GACGAACGCUGGCGGCGUGCUUAACACAUGCAAGUCGAACGGAAAGGCCCUGCUUUUGUGGGGUGCUCGAGUGGCGAACGGGUGAGUAACACGUGAGUAACCUGCCCUUGACUUUGGGAUAACUUCAGGAAACUGGGGCUAAUACCGGAUAGGAGCUCCUGCUGCAUGGUGGGGGUUGGAAAGUUUCGGCGGUUGGGGAUGGACUCGCGGCUUAUCAGCUUGUUGGUGGGGUAGUGGCUUACCAAGGCUUUGACGGGUAGCCGGCCUGAGAGGGUGACCGGCCACAUUGGGACUGAGAUACGGCCCAGACUCCUACGGGAGGCAGCAGUGGGGAAUAUUGCACAAUGGGCGGAAGCCUGAUGCAGCAACGCCGCGUGCGGGAUGACGGCCUUCGGGUUGUAAACCGCUUUCGCCUGUGACAAAGCGUGAGUGACGGUAAUGGGUAAAGAAGCACCGGCUAACUACGUG
rnacentral:rRNA from 1 species